rnacentral:tRNA from 1 species
CAAAGUAUAGCUUAACCAAAGCAUCUCGCUUACACCGAGAAAAUAUCUGUGAAACUCGGAUUAUUUUGA